rnacentral:rRNA from 1 species
AACGAUGAAGCCCUUCGGGGUGGAUUAGUGGCGAACGGGUGAGUAACACGUGGGCAAUCUGCCCUGCACUCUGGGACAAGCCCUGGAAACGGGGUCUAAUACCGGAUAUGACACACGACCGCAUGGUCUGUGUGUGGAAAGCUCCGGCGGUGCAGGAUGAGCCCGCGGCCUAUCAGCUUGUUGGUGGGGUAAUGGCCUACCAAGGCGACGACGGGUAGCCGGCCUGAGAGGGCGACCGGCCACACUGGGACUGAGACACGGCCCAGACUCCUACGGGAGGCAGCAGUGGGGAAUAUUGCACAAUGGGCGCAAGCCUGAUGCAGCGACGCCGCGUGAGGGAUGACGGCCUUCGGGUUGUAAACCUCUUUCAGCAGGGAAGAAGCGCAAGUGACGGUACCUGCAGAAGAAGCGCCGGCUAACUACGUGCCAGCAGCCGCGGUAAUACGUAGGGCGCAAGCGUUGUCCGGAAUUAUUGGGCGUAAAGAGCUCGUAGGCGGCUUGUCGCGUCGGAUGUGAAAGCCCGGGGCUUAACCCCGGGUCUGCAUUCGAUACGGGCAGGCUAGAGUUCGGUAGGGGAGAUCGGAAUUCCUGGUGUAGCGGUGAAAUGCGCAGAUAUCAGGAGGAACACCGGUGGCGAAGGCGGAUCUCUGGGCCGAUACUGACGCUGAGGAGCGAAAGCGUGGGGAGCGAACAGGAUUAGAUACCCUGGUAGUCCACGCCGUAAACGUUGGGAACUAGGUGUGGGCGACAUUCCACGUCGUCCGUGCCGCAGCUAACGCAUUAAGUUCCCCGCCUGGGGAGUACGGCCGCAAGGCUAAAACUCAAAGGAAUUGACGGGGGCCCGCACAAGCGGCGGAGCAUGUGGCUUAAUUCGACGCAACGCGAAGAACCUUACCAAGGCUUGACAUACACCGGAAACCUCUGGAGACAGGGGCCCCCUUGUGGUCGGUGUACAGGUGGUGCAUGGCGUCGUCAGCUCGUGUCGUGAGAUGUUGGGUUAAGUCCCGCAACGAGCGCAACCCUUGUUCCGUGUUGCCAGCAUGCCCUUCGGGGUGAUGGGGACUCACAGGAGACUGCCGGGGUCAACUCGGAGGAAGGUGGGGAUGACGUCAAGUCAUCAUGCCCCUUAUGUCUUGGGCUGCACAACGUGCUACAAUGGCCGGUAC